rnacentral:rRNA from 1 species
UACGGAGGGUGCGAGCGUUGUUCGGAAUUACUGGGCGUAAAGCGCACGUAGGCGGCUUUGUAAGUUAGAGGUGAAAGCCCGGGGCUCAACUCCGGAAUUGCCUUUAAGACUGCAUCGCUAGAAUUGUGGAGAGGUAAGUGGAAUUCCGAGUGUAGAGGUGAAAUUCGUAGAUAUUCGGAAGAACACCAGUGGCGAAGGCGACUUACUGGACACAUAUUGACGCUGAGGUGCGAAAGCGUGGGAGCAAACAGG